rnacentral:rRNA from 1 species
GGAAGUAAAAGUCGUAACAAGGUUUCCGUAGGUGAACCUGCGGAAGGAUCAUUACCAAAUGAGCGCGUGUCACUGUUGUAGACACCGCUGACACUGUGCGCCUUCUUGUAGUAGACCGACAAUUCAAUAGUCUGCCAUUGUGGUGGUGGGCCUUUGGUCUCCUACGUCUUCUUUUCUCACCACACGAAACCUGACAUUGUAUGUUGUGCUUGAACACAUAUAAUAUAACUUUCAACAACGGAUCUCUUGGCUCUCGCAUCGAUGAAGAACGCAGCGAAAUGCGAUAAGUAAUGUGAAUUGCAGAAUUCAGUGAAUCAUCGAAUCUUUGAACGCACCUUGCGCUCCCUGGCAUUCCGAGGAGCAUGCCUGUUUGAGCGUCAUUGAACUCUCAGCAUCCUACCCGAUCUGUUGUUGUGACAAUUGCAUUGCAUUGAUCGGGGGGAGGUAGGCAGCUACUUCCCGUCACCUGGCUUCUGGAUUGUGGAGGAUGCAAUGCUGCCCCCAAUUGGGGCCUCCUUUGCUUCUCUGAAAUGGAGUGCCGUUACGACUGUAACGUUGGGCCCGAACCUGGCACCGGUAUGAUACACUCUUCUUACCUGUGUCUGGUCCAUUUGAGCCGUGUCCAAUAUUUGACCUCAAAUCAGGCAGGACUACCCGCUGAACUUAAGCAUAUCAAUAAGCGGAGGA